GGAAGCAGACGGGUAACUGGUGUGCCUGCCGGUCUUCAAAACCGAGUUGCGCGGUUGUACCGCGUGGGUGAGUUCGAUUCUCACAUGCUUCCGCCA
rnacentral:tRNA from 1 species